GAGUCGGGUUGUUUGGGA
rnacentral:snRNA from 1 species